CCUACGGGAGGCAGCAGUGAGGAAUAUUGGUCAAUGGGCGCGAGCCUGAACCAGCCAAGUCGCGUGAGGGAAGACGGUCCUAUGGAUUGUAAACCUCUUUUGUCGGGGAGCAAAAGACGCCACGCGUGGCGUUCCGAGAGUAACCGAAGAAAAAGCAUCGGCUAACUCCGUGCCAGCAGCCGCGGUAAUACGGAGGAGGCGAGCGUUAUCCGGAUUUAUUGGGUUUAAAGGGUGCGCAGGCGGAAGAUCAAGUCAGCGGGAAAAUUGAGAGGCUCAACCUCUUCGAGCCGUUGAAACUGGUUUUCUUGAGUGAGCGAGAAGUAUGCGGAAUGCGUGGUGUAGCGGUGAAAUGCAUAGAUAUCACGCAGAACUCCGAUUGCGAAGGCAGCAUACCGGCGCUCAACUGACGCUCAUGCACGAAAGUGUGGGUAUCGAACAGGAUUAGAUACCCUGGUAGUC
rnacentral:rRNA from 1 species